rnacentral:lncRNA from 1 species
UGAGGAUGUCUGUAGGUCAUGUGCAAAUUAUAUUAAGCAAUUUAUAGUAAGGACUUGAAACACUGAUUUUGGCCUUGGAGAGCGUCCUGGAACCAAUCCCUUGAAGGGCAAAAUAGCAGGGGUCACUGUCGUUGGUGCUGGACUCCUUGAGUUGCUGGCCACAGGAUCUUUGGGAAUUGGGACCCUAUCUCUGGAAAGCUCCCAGGUGUGGCCUGCCCAGCCCUGAAUGAGCCCUGGACUUGAAGCCAUCGAUUCUUCCCCUUCCUCUGGAGCUGUCAGGACCCAGCUCCAAAGGGCAGCAGCUCCCAGGAGCUGACAGGACGGCAGAGCUCGCUUGAAGGUCCAGGAGAGGAGUUUAAGAAGGGAAGGAGAGGCUGCCACCCGUGGGCCCGGAUCACAUGCCUCUGCCAUGCACAGGUAAGGGCGAGCCACUAUAGAAGGCAGAGUUUUCUUUUAAAUUACACUAAUGGCUAAUGUUUAUAGAGAUGUGCUAGGCCUGGUGCUGAGAACCACAACUCUUCAUUUGAUCUGACGUCCCCAGACUUCCUCACCUGAUAGAUGGCAAAACUGAGAUUCAAAGAGGUGAAAUGACUGUCCCAAGGCCACAGAGUGCAGCAGAGGGGCUGCCAUUUGAACCACCUGGCUCUAGAGCUCCCUUGUUGCCCCACUCCUGGAGUCUCCAGAAGAACUUCAGAAUUCUGGAGCUCAGGACUGGUUCCAGACACAGCCAGGGCACCCAAGGGCCUGAGGAGUCACAGUCCGAUUCCAAGACACAUGGAGGUUGAGAGGCAUCCUCCAGGUGCCCAGCCACCCCAGGGCCACCUGGUGCCUGUCCUCUCCUGGGGACUCACCACUCCAGCAACUCCUACUCUUUCUCCUCCACCAGCCACGCGGGGCGUGGGGCAGAGAGAACCAGGAUUUUAUCAAGACAAAGAACAAAAGUCGUGGGGGAAAGAAGCCAAGAGCCAUCUCCCCUGUGGGGUAGGGCCCUUCAGUUUUGCCCCUUUGAAAUUUCAAAUUCCAGUUUGUGGACAAAGUCCUAACUAUCUCACAAUAUAGGUUCCCAACUGCUGACCAAACUCCAGUCUAGCCGCCACCUGGCCCCAGGCUGGCCCAGUCUGGCUGCUUCCCGACAGCUCCCAAGAUCUGGGGUAGGAGGCCAAGGGCAGCUGGGGACCGCCAAGGACCCCCACCUCCCACCUGAGAGGACAGCUUCCUGCCCAGAGUUGGGAUCUGAUGCUUCCUGGUCUCAACAGCAGAUGCCAGGUAGGCGCCCUGGCGGUCUGGGCCUCUGGGCUCCUCCUGGAGCCCCCAACGGACCACCUGCUCACACUGCCAUGGCUUAAUCCCCAAGGGACCCCACAGCACUGGACAGGCUGUGUCCCUGACCCACUCCUUUGGCACAUGGAGACACUGAGGCUGUCGGCAAAUGGAAGCUGCUGCAGUUUGAAGAGUGGAGCUGGCCAGAGACCAGGGGCCCCUCCCUGAGCCCCAAAGGCUGGAAGGGACUUGGGAAUUGCUCCAGGCCACUCAGUGGUGGCAGGUAAGCUUGGACUGAACAAGGAGGUCAGUCCCCUUCGCUUCCUCUCCUACAGACCGUGGAUGGCCCUGUGUGUUUGUCCACUCAGUGACUGAUGGCCACCAGGUUGCCCCAGGAGCAUUUCCGAGAGGAAGACGAGGGAGCUGGGGCUGAAGGCCAGUGGGAUUGGAAGGAAACACUAUUCACAUGGUUAACUGAUAACUGGGCCCCAUCCCCGGGCCUCCACAGGCCUCUUUCCUCCCUCCCUCUCCUCAGCAUGAUUAAGAUGAACUUACCUGCCUGCUAAUCAUUGCUGAGACUGUUGAUUUUGCCUUAAAAAAUUAACUGGGCAUGAGUUUGCGGUUUGCCUCACCCCUAACCCUGAAAAGGCCUGGGUGGGCAGGAGGCCUCCUGGGUUAUGCAAGAGGCCGCUGGCCUCCCCACGCGCAUCCCGUGGCCUCCUCUGCCGUUCUCCAAAGGGGAGUUUUGCUCAAGAGUCAACAGUCUGCCUGUCCCCCUGCCGGGUCCUGAGCAAAUUUGCUCUGUUACCAAAGAGAGAUAAAAACACUGUGGAAUGGGGGUGGGGGGAACUUUCCAAAUGGGGAUGUGAAGCAGUGGCUUUGAGCUUGGGUUUCUAGAAUCCUGCAGCAUCAGAGCCAAGAGAACCUUUCGGAGGAUGUGGGCUGGGGCUUUUUAUUUUUAUUUGACUUUUCAAAGCAGCUUCUGGUGUUCCCAGGAGCCCACAGAUUGAUGCUCUCUUAGGUGUGAUCUUUCUUAAUGUUUCCAUUGAGAGAAGGGAGACCACAGGUGCAGCCUCAGCCCCUCAGUGUGCAGAUGGGAAAAGAGGCCAGGGGAGGGGUGGGUGCCUCAGACAAGAACACAGGCCACCCAGGUAUCCUGGGUCUCCAGCCGAGACAGGGAUAACAGGUACUCUCUGGACCUGAAUGACAUGUUGAAGGACAUCAGGGAACAAGGUGGCUGCAUGCACAUCUUCCCCUGCCAUCCCCCUCUUCUUGGAGGGCAGAAGUAAGCAGAGAGGUGUCCUGAGAGUCCUGGAAGAUCCCACGGCAGGGGACUUCACCUGUAGUGUGUUCUGUGGUCCUCUGAGGAGCAGGACCAGCAGCAUGAGCUGCAAACCAGACUCUGUCACAGCCCCUCUUGGCCAACCCUGCCCUGACUCUCGGUCCCUCCGAACCUCAGUUUCUCUCCCUGUAAAUUGGGAACAAUACCUACCUAACUCCUAGGGUUGUCAGGAGGGUGAACGGAGUAAAAAGCAUUCAUUGAUAAUGAGGGCCAAUGUGCAUGCAGCUGUUUCGGGGGGGCUAUCCAUCCGUGUUAGCUCAUGAAUUCUUACACCACCCUAACACAGACAGUGUUUUUAUCACCAUUUUGUGGAGCAUGGGCACAGAAUGAUUGAGUCAUGCGCUCAAGCCCACUCAGCUGAUAAGAAAUAAGUUAGGAUUCAAGUCCAAACUGAUUGCAGAAUCUGUGCUCCUAACCCUAAAGCACCCUGCCUUUCCAGGAAUGUACGUAGUAAGGGCUCAAGGAAAGCUGGUCAGUAGAGGGGCAUGGAAGUCCCUCUGGUCAGAGAUCAGGGCAUUGCAGGAGCUGCUGAGUUUGAGGUAGAGAGGAUGGCCAGAGGCUGAGCCAUCAGGAGGAAAGCCAGGACCCAGUCUGUGUGGGCGGAGCCGCCCUGUGGGUUGCCUGCCUGCUGCCAGGGGGGCGUUCCUGUUCUCCUGUUUAUGUUCAUCUCUUCUGUUUAUGUUCCUGACUUUAUCUGCAGGGGUGACCUUGGGGAAUUAGAUGGGGCCUAGCCUGCCCUCAUGGGGCCUGAAGGGUGAUGGGAAGUUCCUGCUCAGUCCAGGCCCUCGACUCAGGGAUAAAAGUCGCCCUUAGCCUCUCUGGAUCCCUCCUGAGGGGCUUCAGGGAUUUGUCUGGAGGUCACUGCGGUGAAAGAUUUGCAAGUCCUGAGACUUAGGCCAGGAUCACUGUGUACAGUUGUACAAGCUGCUCCCCACACGCAUGUUCUCUAGCCAAGAUGGUUGAGUGGGGGUAGAAAUCCAGCCCUUGCUCCAAAGCCCAUGAACUUUGCCUGCCUGGAGGGGGAUGUCUUUUUCUUAUUUGCACAAAGAAUCCAUGUAAGCUACUAGGAGCUCUGCCCCAGCUCUGUUUCCAGCCACUGUGUGACCUCGGACAAAGCCCAUCCCUUCCUGGCCUUGGAUUCCUGUUUGGGAAGUUGUGUCUAGCAUAAAGCAGAGAUUCAAUCUAGAUAGUGAAACAGAAUCACCUGGGAUCUUAAAAAAAUAUAUAGAUGCUCAGCUGCUCGGGUAGCUCAGUGGUAGAGCAGAGAGCAAGUUGUUCCAUUCUCAGCCCUAAAGCAAAACACUGAGGCCCAGGCUGGGUGAUACGCCAGUGAUCAAAUCUUAGGGUAGCAGUGAGUAGUGCUCGGCUUCAGUAGUUUUUGAAAUCCCUGGAUGAUUCUGAUCAUCCAGGAUGAUUCAGGCCCAUCACAGAAGGCUUGACAUUUUGAAGUGGAAAGACCUUGACACAGGUCUGAGUUUUCCAACUAAGUGCAGCUUACUAUUCAGAACUUCAGGGAGGAUUGGUUUCCCCAUCUGUAAAAUGGACCCACAACUCCCUCACAAUGUCAGAAUGCUGAGUCAGCGGAUGACAUCCUGAGAUGGUCCCUGAUUCUUGGUGCCAAUGGCUGUUAUUGUUACUGUCAAUAAAAUAUUGGUAUCAAGUAAAAGGCCCUUCCAGGCCAAGCGUUCAGGGACAUGGAGCCAGGCUUUCUCUGUUCCUUGGAUGCCCAUCUUCUCUGCCCACCUGUCCUAUUAUUGAAGUUGUGUGGUGAUGAUGAUGAUGAUGAUCUGAUUUGUUAGACAUUGCACAUUUAUUUCUGAAUCAUUAACGACCUUCACAUGGCUCAGAAUCAGAUGUGAAAAAGGUACCCUGUUGAGAAGCCCGGUCCGCUCUGCCUGCUGCUGCCUGAGCUCUCCACCUCUUUACCACCCUUCCUCAUUUUCCUACUUUCUCAUGGAUCUUUCUUGAAAGUCUUUCACGGAAGUACAAGAAUCUAUAAGAUCACAGGUCGUCAGCCCUGCCUCCCACACUGUCCUGCCUCCUGCCUGUUUCCUUGACCAUUAUGGCCUGCAGAUUUUCCCAUAGCAGUUGAGAGCCAGCUUUGGGAGAAAACAGGCUCUGGGAGGGAGCGUUGUUUUCCCAGGAAGCCAAGUCAGUCAUGUUUGAACUCUCUCUCCUUGGCUCCAGAGCCCAUGUCUGUCCCCUGAACUGAAGUGGCCUUCCAGGAACCCAGGCCUCAGGAGUUUGGGAGCCAGGCAUAAACUGGUGCAGCACAGACCUGGCCUUCCCGGGCAUAAGGGAAGGUGGGGUUGGGUGGGCUGUUAGGGCCUCUCCUGUUUCUGGGCCCUGAAGACCCAAAGACAGGCUAAAGUAUGGAAUAAGUCAUCCAAAUAGGGACCCAGUGAGGGGUGUCCCCUGGAUGGGACGUCAUGGCCUGGUGGCCCUGCCAUCCAGCACUGUAGAACCUGCAAGCUCAGAGUGUGCUGGCAGCAGCAAGGUCCAAAGGAGGAGGGGCAGGGAGGAAGGGAAGCCUAGCCAAUGGGACGGCCAAUGCAGAGCCCUGGGGGACCCAUUCCUGGAGGGCAGGAUUUGGAAUUCAAGACAGAAGUGGUGAGGACAGCUUAGCCCACAUUUUCUGUGCAGGCGAAUUCAGGGUCCCCCUGGAUCCUUGACCUGCUCAGAGCACUGACUGAGCAAGUCAAGCUCGCUCUCUGCGCCUCAGCUGCAAAAUGAAGAUUAGACAGCUGGUCUUUGGGCAGCCUUGAAGCACCCCUAAAGGCAUCUUUGGGGGCUCCCUCUCCUUGUUGAGGGAAUCUGAAUCCUGUUUUGACCAGAAUAUCAUUCACCUAUCAGGGCCCUUGGCCUUCCUGGAUGGGGGCUGGGGAUAAAAGUCUCCACACUGCUUCAAAGUCCAGCCUCCUCCCCCCAGUUCUGUGUCUCCCUCCUGCCACCCCAUAUUCCUUCCAGGCAAAUGCAGAGGCAGGACCAUACCUGGUGGGUCCUGGGGGAAGCCCUGGCCCCCGUCCGACAUCCUCCUCCCGGUGCUAUGGGGUCCCGCACAGUGGGCAACCUCUUCAUCCCUGAGUCAACCCCUGCUGCCACCCUGGCACCCUAGACCCUGUGGGGACUGCUGGGCAGAGUUAAUCCCUUAAUACUGGUCACAAUGAGAUUUCAGGGAUGGUGGGAGGCGGUCUCCAUGGAGACCGAAGACCUGUCCAGGACCCACGCAAGGAAUUAGCCCCAGGCCUCUGCAAGGGGCCCCUAGAGACCCAACCCAAACAGUGGGAGACGCCGGGCCUGCAGGCCUGGGUCUGGCCUCCUGCUCUCUGUGUUCUUUUGCUGAACAGGUGAGAUGCAUUCAUGGGAGCCUGCGUCACCUUUCUGAGACAGAUUCUUUAUCCUCCAUUUGGGGUUCUGGGCCUCAAUCAACUUUUCUAGAAGAGUGCCACUUUGGGAGUCUGUUAGACCUGAAUUUGAUGCUCAGCUUUUCUGUCUCAGACUGCCUCAGGCCAAGCACUGCGCUUCUCUGAGCCUCAGUUUCCU